UAGAGCCGUAUGAAGGGAGACUUUCACGUACGGUUCUGUGAGAACGUGCGAGUGAAAUUUCCUUGCGUGACUCGAU
rnacentral:ncRNA from 1 species